GUAGACGCCGCCGUUCUCCAUGGCCGCGCUGCCGAGCCAGCGAGAAGCGAAAGCAAAAGGGCGGCGGCUGGAGCGGCGCGGCAGGGAACUGGAACGGGAAGGCGGAGGCAGCGCCCCGCCCGCCGACGCUGAAACAAAAGCGCUUCCUGCGAGCCCCGUGCACGAGAGCAGGGGCGGGCAGCGGCGAGCCGCUCUGGUGCCGGCGUGUGCCGUCCUUUGCACGGGAGCUGGGACGCAUCCCUGUGAACUUUCACCAGACGGUGGUGGGCGCGACCACAGUAACUCAAGGAGUGUUUGGACGGCGCUCCUAAACGUUGGGUUUGGAUUCUGGAUAGCGCUGUGUGGAGCCGGGGUCGGACUCGAUGGUCUUCGUGGGUCCCUUCCAACUCUGUUCUGUGAUUCCGACGUGCUGCCCUACCUCUGCCCGCACCUAAUUUCAUAGGCAGCUCGUUCUGCCGUGAGGAAAUAGAUGAAGACUUUUGUGUAUAAGCAAAAGUGUACCACAUUGACUUUAAUUAGCGUAUUAUCCACAGAACUAUUAUGGUCCUUCACAGUCAAAUUCAGAUAUACUUUGCUAAGUAUGAUCUACUGAUAGAAAAGCAGCAGUUUGCUUUCUCGGCCUUAGUUCUACUCGUGCUUUGUUUAAGCACAGUCUGUGCUGAAGGAGCCAAGUGAACGGUCACACUGCCCAUCUCAGCCCAGCAGUGCAGGACGUGUGUGCAGCACCGAGAGAUCAGGCACCAUCUGUGCCUGCUGGGAGCCGCCGUGCCUGGACAGCUAAGGCAGAGCAGGUAAAGGCACUUGGGGCGUGCUCUGGGCUACUGUUUGCCAGCAGGCUGUAAAUGGCACCACUCCCUGUAGGAAAACACAACCCAGAGGAACAGUGUGGGAGCCCUGGGCUGGGUGGUGCGGGUGUGUUUGUGCCAGUAACAGUGCCUGUUGCAGGAGCUGGCUUUAGAGGCAAGUGAGUCGGCAAACCUUGUGAUUCCUCAGGCACAGGAGUGCCCAGUGAAAUGAGGAAGGUAUUGCUGUGAGUGCACCACAGCUUCUGCUGGGGGUUGGGACGUGUCUAAUGCAGUUUUGCAUGCAGCAUCCCAGGAGUGCAGGGCUGAGCAGGUAGGUGUAGUGAAUGAUAUUUACUGUUAUGGAUCCAGAGUACUACUGUGCCUUCAUUGCUGGUUUUUUACAUUAGUACGGUGUAAGGAAGGCUGUGUUACAGAGGCUUUUUCUAAAGGAAUUUCCUAUUUUGUUUUGUGUUUAUGUUUCAAAAUUGGCUGAAUGACCACAUGUCCUAUGUAGUGAGACUACUCUUGUCUGAGGGAGACGAGGCUUAAGCAGAUAGAAGCAGUUGUGAGUUCUCCUUAGUAAGUAUUCAGUACCAUCUAAGGAUACCUGCAGCUGUUCCCAGUCUUGUUACCCAUGCCCUAAGGCAGCCUUACAAAAGGAUGAAUGCAGAUGUUACUGCUGAGGACAACUCUUGAAAGGAGCUGCUUCUCAAGGACCAAUAGAGAAACUACACAAAGUUGACUGAAGAUAAAAUAUAUUGUAACCUUUUUCUACUUACUGCUGUUUCCUCAGAUUUGUUUUUCCUGCUCAGGCCUUCAGCAGGAAGUGUAAAAGCUGGCUUGCCAUUUAAAUCCUAGAUUAUUUAGGCUGCUUUCUUUAUUUGUAAGGCAACACAUGGAAAGCAAAACAACCACAAAGAUCCGUAGCAGAGAGGGAAUGAAAACCAGACAGCGUAGGACAAAAUACCUUAAAAACAAUUGCAGCGUUUUGUUAAAACAUGCAAAUGCUGCUGGGCACACAAUCUGGAGCUGUUCCUUACCUUUUCACUAGAACUGUCUUUCAAGUACAGCUUUAAAGUUCACUCCCCUUUAAAGAGGGAAUGCAGAUCAAAACAGUAGUUGUGAUACAUAAUGUCUGUUUAAUGUAAACGACUGCAAUUAGCCAGCUGUGAUGUAAUAGAAAUCCCAUUGCAGAUAGGCACCAUCAAGAAAUCUUACUCAAUUUCUUCUAUUUAUGCAUUGACAGAGUUUUCAAAAAUGAAAGUCUGUCUCACUCAUGCAACCUCUACCAGAAUGGCAAAGCCUGAGCUUAAAGCAGGACACUGCAGCAGAAAGCAGUCCUGGAAUUAGGUUGUAAACUGCCACAACGUCUCCACUCAGCCAAGGAGUAGGAGGUUGGUGGGAGCAGAUUAGUGAUGAGUGACCUACUUUUCUCCCGCAUUACAUCUUCUCCAAAGAUAACCACCACAGUGUCCAUAAAUCAGUACCUAUUAAAUGGAGAAACCUACGUCAUUAGAGGAGAUUACAGCAUAGCUUUAUAACACGGACAUCAGUCCUCACUGCAUUGAAAAAAUUUACAAAAGAAUUGUGACUGGAGUGACAAAACAGUUGAAUAAAUUUCAGCCCCUGGGAUAUGGUGAGUACAGGCCAGGUAUCAUCCCAGAUUUUACGAAGUGAAGCCCCAGUAAACCUUUGGAACUAGCUUCGUUCUGUAUUACAGAAUUACCGAUUAAGCUGAAACAAAUCCUUCACUCCCUUGACCUGACUUCUCACAAAUGAAUUCUCAUUUUCCCACAUUCUGAAAUACAAUUCUGUCCUUUUAUUUUCCUUUGAGGCGAGGAGACUUUCUUUUCAAAAGAGAAAGAAGUAUAAGAAUAGGAAAGCAAUUUAAAAGCCCAAACCACCAAAGGACGCAGGCUCCAUUUCAUUUGAAGAGUGGUGAGGCAGAUCACCACAGAACAAGUUGGGAAACUCCACAGUCAUAGGCAUGGCUCCCUCCUGGCUUUGGUUCCCAUGCAGGCAUCUAACAGCAUCCUUUCACACAAGUUCUCUGCAUGAGAUGACCAGCUAGCCAUGGGAAUCAUAGAGCAAGGUCUGUAACAAGCAGACAAACUCACACAAGACUUGCACACAUUGCAUCUCCUGACUCUUGCUCAGCUCCAAAGGCUCUAUGUCUGGGCUCAGUGUUGCAGCUGAACUUCACAAAGCCUGAGCACUGUGCUAACUAGCCCCAAGGUGGGAUUUUUAAACAGCUGAAGAUCAGGAAUCAGUAUUUCUAACAGCUAUUUCUGAAUAGCCUUCAUGGCACCAAAACAAAUAAAAUGCUCAACUCUCUCCAUGUUUCCCAAAUGCUGGGCUAGGAUAAUUCUUGUUACUGGUUUUCUGCAAUGCAUCUGCAUAAAAAGAAUUCUAAAGCCAUGAGGUAUUUGACAGCCAAUGGUUCUACAACUGCAAAUUAAGUAGUAUUAUUUCAAAAUACAAGAAUCUUGUUUGUUAUAUUUUAGUUUGAUUAAGGGACAGCAUACUUUCUCAUUAUAGGGUUAACCAUACUUAAUACAAUUCAUUCAGAAUACUGAAUAGUGGGCUGGCACGUAGGGACCGCUUACCAUUAAUCGAUUGUUCCAACUGCAGAACUUACAAUUCUGCUGUGAUUCAGCAAAGGUGACGCAUGGAGAAACGCAUGACCUGCUGAUGAAUAACUGCAUGGAGUGAACUGACCUGGAAGGUGGGGCGGGAGAAGCUUCCCAUCAGGGAUGCAGGGCAUGCAUCACCAUCAGAACACUGGGAAAGCUCGACAAUAUAUUAGAAGCCAUCAAACUAGAUGGUUUUUAUUGAUUUUAGAUGGCCUUUUAUUCUUUUUCCGUGGAGGCAGGGACUGGGGAAAACCUUACUAAUGACUCAUUGGAAUUUCACUUCAUAAAAAGAAGUUCUAGAAACAAAAAGUCACUUCUGUGUAUUUAAAACUUGUAAAUAUGUUCCUUCCCUAACCCCUGACUUCUGUUUGGUUCUUAAAGGUUUUUAUUACUAUUAUUUUUCACUAGGGUAAAAGGCUAAGAAAGAACUUUCUCUACCUGGCCUUUCUGUUCAACAGCAUCAAAGUCCUUAGCUUUCCUACUUCAAGUUUAAGUUCUCUUUAGGCUGCCAUCACUAUCUACAGCCUGUUUAUGCUGGCUGGACAGCUUUGACAACAGCAGAUGGAGAAAGUGGAAUUUACCAGAAGCAGCGUGCAAAGCAAGGCUUUGUGAAAGGGCUAUUUCCACUCUUUCAGGCACCAAAGCCACCCAUUGGUGAAAACAAUGAAAGGAUACUUGGAAAGGACACCUCUUCCUUAUUCAUUAUUGUUCUUUGGUGCCCUAAACUGUAGGCCUGUGAGAUUUGCAAUGAUCUCAGUUCUACAAGGAAUAACAGCACCAGUAACAUCAAGUGCAUUUCUAAUCAUUCCUGCAUGCCUUUAAUACCUUUGGUGUUACUAAGUACAAGGCUCUGGCCUAGCACACAAGAAGAGCAGAUGAUGAUUUUUCAUAAAGUAGCAUUUCAAAGUGUUUUGCAGUAUGAAUACUGCAAAACCACUACACAAUAAAGAAGUUACUUUGCACUUUCAGAGCUAAGCCUGUGUAGUUAAGGAACCAGCUACCAAUAAAAUAAACUCUUUUAGGGGAUUUCCUUUCCUCUACAUCCUUAUAUAAUUUCUUUGAUUAGAGUGGUUGUAAUAAACCUGCUCUGCAAAUUUUAAGCUGAAGAUUUGGGGUAAAAGAUCACUAUUUCCAGGCAGUUCUCACAUUUCAGCUGAAAACAUGGCAGUCUCUGAAAUGUGUCUAUGACUUCUCAGUUAUAUAGACAGACUAGCUACUGUACUAACUUUAAAUUUCUACUUACACACCUGAAAUGUAGUUACCAGUCUGUUGGGUUGCAGCCUUUUUCACUGGAAGUGAACCUAAAUUGGAAUUUAAUACAACUAGCAUCACAUUCAAAGUACAGAAGAUGUACUCCUUCAUCAGGAGCCUUUAGAAGUUUCCUAAAUAAGCUGGAGAAAGUAAGGCUUUAUUUAAAAAAUCCAAAACAAAUUACAAAACAAACAAAUGAAAAAAAACAACCACAAAACCUUAAACUCAUUGAAGUUACUUGGUAAUUAUUAGAUUGGGAUAUACUUUU